rnacentral:rRNA from 1 species
UUAUUCCCAUUGUACGAAAGGAUCCGGGUAUAGAGUUUUACUUUUAAUUGUUUAUUAAUUAAAUUAAUUUGCCUCAGUUUGCUCCUAUUUUUUUUAGUUUUCUUUUUAUUAUAAUCUGGUUAGAUUUUGUAGUUAAAAUAUGUUUGUUGUGAUGAAGCUGUAAGCGGUCUUAUAAUUUUUAGCUUACU